AGAGUUGAUCAUGGCUCAGGACGAACGCUGGCGGCGUGCCUAACACAUGCAAGUCGAGCGAGGAGAUCCUCGGGAUGAUCCUAGCGGCGGACGGGUGAGUAACACGUGGGCAACCUGCCUCAUAGAGAGGAAUGGCCUUCCGAAAGGGAGAUUAAUACCUCAUAACAUUGCAGUUUCGCAUGGAACAGCAAUUAAAGGAGUAAUCCGCUAUGAGAUGGGCCCGCGGCGCAUUAGCUAGUUGGUGAGGUAAUGGCUCACCAAGGCGACGAUGCGUAGCCGACCUGAGAGGGUGAUCGGCCACAUUGGGACUGAGACACGGCCCAGACUCCUACGGGAGGCAGCAGUGGGGAAUAUUGCACAAUGGGGGAAACCCUGAUGCAAGCAACGCCGCGUGAGUGAUGACGGCCUUCGGGUUGUAAAGCUCUGUCUUCAGGGACGAUAAUGACCGGUACCUGAGGAGGAAGCCACGGCUAACUACGUGCCAGCAGCCGC
rnacentral:rRNA from 1 species